GCUGUUGAAAAAGCUCGUAGUUGGAUCAAGAGCACAACAGUGCAAGGUGGCCUCGUUUGUGUCUAGUCGUUUCGGUGACUGGCGCGGCGGCGGAUCAACCCCUUGCAUUAAACUGAUGUCUCUAACUGGCCGAAGCGGUUCCCUGUGAGUAGGCCAUUUAAUUGGGGCUGAAAGCGAUUACGCAUCUACCACAUGCAUACGGGACGUCGGCCACGGUGACUGUGAACAAACCAGCGUGUCGAAAGCAGGCUUUCGCCUGAAUGUUCGAGCAUGGAAUAACAAGGGAUCGAUCAUAUCGGUUCUUUUUGUUGGGUUUUAACCCGAGAAGGAGUAAUUCAGGGCAUCGUGUCUGGGCUGGGUUCACCUGGGCUUCGGCUCAGGCCCCAGUUAGGCUGUUCUUACGGGAUAAAUAGGGACUGACGGGGUCGUACGUACUAUUGCGUCAGAGGUGAAAUUCUUAGAUCGCAGUAAGACGAACUUCUGCGAAAGGCAUUCGACAAGAAUGUCUUCAUUGAUCAAGAACGAGAAGUGUGGGGAUCGAAGAUUAGCAGAUACCGUCGUAGUCCACUACUGUAAGCAAUGCAGUCUCAGGAUUGAGAAGUGAACCUAAUGCAUUCCACAGCACUAACCCCUGAAACGAGGAAUCAAAGAUUAUGGACUCAAGGGGGGAGUA
rnacentral:rRNA from 1 species